CAUCCAUGUAAGAUGUAACUUGCUCCUCUUUGCUUUCUGCCAUGAUUGUGAGGCCUCCCCAGUCAUGUGGAACUAAUUCUCCUUUCCAUGGUCUCCAAGCAGAAAAGUCUCAGAAACUUCCUUGAGACACAUGUGGCUGAUGAAGAAUGGGUUCUUAAUAAUUCCCUUUGGGACCAUGAUGAGCAUGAUGGCUCCCAUUUGGUGCUUUUUCUACAGACAGAGUCGGGAAAAUCGAUGUUAUGAAAGUACCUGAACAUGACAACCUAUGUUGGGAAGGCAGUGUGCCCAGGGAAUGGACAGAAGUUUAAAUAUCAAACAGUAGAAAAUAUGAAACCCACUACAGCUUAAAACUUUCCGCAUGGGAACACUUCUACACAUCUUAACCAGACUGCUUCAUGUGCUCUAAAUAGGAGCCUCUCAGAAAAUUUGUUGUACUUCGUCAAAAUGGUAUGUAUUAAGAAAGACUUCCCCUUAUUAUCUUCUCCCAACUUGAAGACCUCAACAGAAGUGCCAUUAGAUCUCAAGAACUUUAUUGUACUUACAACUUUCAUAAUGGUCACCGUCAAUUCCAAAGUUAAUGCAAAGGCUAAGUUACCAAACCUUGGAAGGUA